UACGAAGGGGGCUAGCGUUGCUCGGAAUCACUGGGCGUAAAGGGUGCGUAGGCGGGUCUUUAAGUCAGGGGUGAAAUCCUGGAGCUCAACUCCAGAACUGCCUUUGAUACUGAAGAUCUUGAGUUCGGGAGAGGUGAGUGGAACUGCGAGUGUAGAGGUGAAAUUCGUAGAUAUUGGGUGGAACACCGGUGGCGAAAGCGGCUCUCUGGCCCGGAUCUGACGCUGAGGCGCGAAAGCGUGGGGAGCGAACAGG
rnacentral:rRNA from 1 species